rnacentral:lncRNA from 1 species
GUCUAUGUAUUACAGGUCCUUGUGGUCUGUGUAUUACAGAACAGUUACAGGAGGUCAGUCAGGUCCUUGUGGUCUAUGUAUUACAGGUCCCUGUGGUCUAUGUAUUACAGGUCCCUGUGGUCUAUGUAUUACAGAUCCUUGUGGUCUAUGUAUUACAGGUCCUUGUGGUCUAUGUAUUACAGGUCCCUGUGGUCUAUGUAUUACAGAUCCUUGUGGUCUAUGUAUUACAGGUCCUUGUGGUCUAUGUAUUACAGGUCCCUGUGGUCUAUGUAUUACAGAUCCUUGUGGUCUAUGUAUUACAGGUCCUUGUGGUCUAUGUAUUACAGGUCCCUGUGGUCUAUGUAUUACAGGUCCCUGUGGUCUAUGUAUUACAGGUCCUGGUGGUCUAUGUAUUACAGGUCCUUGUGGUCUAUGUAUUACAGAACAGUUACAGGAGAGGUGACUACCUCAUGAAGCUGGUUGAGAGAAUACCAGGAGUGUGCAAAGCUGUCAUCAAGGCAAAGCGUGGCUAUUUGAAGAAUCUCAAAUAUU